GUUCACCUCUGAGGUACAGCGGUAGCAGGACGAGCUGCAGACAAAACUCCUUAGACACGAGUUAAAGAAGGAAGGGGUUUAUUCGGCCAGAGGCAUUGGCAGGACGCCCGUCUCAAGAGCCGAGUUCCCCGUUGAGGAAAUGGGUCAAGACAUUUGCCCAAGUGUACCCAGCACAGACAGGAAACGCUGAGUGUGAACCAGCCUGUGACUUCGGGACCCUCAUGCGGCCCCGGCUGUCCCACCGGAGACUCCCGGAAGCUGAGGUGGUGAGCCGGGACGGGGGGACACCUUCGAGAUAAGCUGGAACCGCAGUUCUUUCCUCAGAAUUCAGGGGAUCUGUGGACUUGGAUCAGUUUCAUCUGGCGUUGUGUCGAGUCUCUAACCAAAAUUUAGCCUUUCCUUUAACCAUGACCGUGGGCACCUCCCGGGGCGUCAGCCGUGCCUGUGCCGUUGACACCGACAGAACUGCCCCAGGGCCACUUCUGUGGGCCCCAAGCAGCCAUGCCUUGGGAGGGUUCGGGCACCACGAAACACCCCCCUCCCCUUCCACUCACCGCCACGUCUCAGAAUGCAGUUCCCACACCUCACCACUUUAAAUCACGGCUGAAUGAAAAGCACAGCGCUCACUACACCAGAAUGUUCUAAGAGGGUGGUAACUGUAUUUUGGUAAAAUGGGUUUCCUUCAUAA